CAACACAGAAACAAUCAAACUUGAAGUCCUCAACAUGGAAGAUAUGUUUUGUUCCUAACCAUCUAUAAUCCAUUCUCUAUGAAGUUCAGACUGUCUGCUCUUCCUUUGGAAAUACACAGUUAGUCAAUCAACAUAGAAACACACAAACUUGAAGGAUUCUCUAGUGAGGGCUUAUGGAAAUGAUCUAUGUCUACUCUUAGAAUGGUGAAAGACUAUCAGAUUAUGCAAAGACUAACAGAAUAUCCUCUCUUGGAACACUGAAACAAGAAAACCAAACUUAAGAGGAUGGAGGAUUUAAGAAGAACAUAGAUAAAUAUGAUUUCCAACCAAUUUAACCAGUACGAUCAUAGACUGUGGUUUACAGGAUGACAAAGAAAGGAACCAGGAUUGUAUCUUUCACUGUCAGACACUGACUAUGGAUAAAGUGUAAUCAUUUAUCAAACUGAGAUCUAGUCAAAUCAAGUAUUGAAAAUAUGAUUUUCUGAUAGCAUGAGCUCUUUAAAAACUAAUUCUCACAGACCUCAAAGUAUCUGAAUGUGACUUUUAUUUUUACCAAUUCAUAUUGAAGACUGUUGUUAUGUAUGGGAAUUACACAUUAAAACCUUUUAUUUUUCAUCUAAUUUUUACAACCCCCUAGAAAUUAACACAGAUAUCCAGAUGCUGGAUUUAAUGUUAUUAUUUAACUUUCCUGGAAUUGUAAAUAUAUUUUGUUUGUGUAUGUAUCAUGUUUAAUUUUGAAUUUAAAAUUGGUCUCAAUAAGACCCCCAAUAAAGAUGCAAGUGUCCCAUAAUCUGUGUUUUAAUAAUAUCUUGAAUAUCUUUAUCAUACCAUAUUCAUCAUACUAAUUACAUAUAGAAUGGUUGUAGGAAUACACUUUGUUGUUAAGGACACUUUGUCAAGGUCAAAGCAUAAGAUUAUUGAGAUGACUUCUUUGACAAUAAUUUGUAACUUACAAACUUCACAUCAUAAGUACACACUCAGAUGAAGAAUCAAUAAGAUAUUUCUAUAGAGUUUUUGGAUCAUUUACUCCUGGGUAAAAGUUAAUUACUGAGAUUACUGAUUUGAGUCCUGUAAUGCAAUAACUUAAACAUUGUGUAAUAACUUAUAGACUUUAUAAAAAUUAGGUGCAAAUUCUUAGGAAAGGAAUGAAAUGUUAAUCAAAUGUACAAUGUUCAAAGGUGUUUAUAUGACUAUUACUAUGUAAUACCUUGGGUUUCUGUAAAAAUCCUAUAUUCACUACAUAGAUAAAGACCUGUAUAAUAUAUAUUUUAAACUAUGCUGAAGGAAAAAAAAAGUCAAAAGCUCUCCCCUUCAUCUCUUUCAUAUUCUGUCAUACACAACAAUAGAUAAAUUGCAGUCUUAUAACAAACUGAUGUCUAAUCAAAUCCUAGAAUUGA